GAUACAACAGCCAACUGAACUCAUGUGUCAAGAUGGGCAAGAGCUCCACAAGUAUUGAAAGACAAAUUUGGACAAGGUAGAAUGCCAGGGCAUAUCAGAUGAUGAAGUGAAGUCUCUUCAGCAUAAGUGUGGGGUUUUGGAAAAAAGACAGAAAGAGCUGCUAUUGCUCUCCCUUCUCCUCCUGGACCUGGAAUUUCAAAAUCUCCAUCCUGAAAUGUGAAGCCCCUUCUACUAAGCAACUUGAGGAAGAGAAUGGACGGAAGCACUUUUAUUUACUUUGCACAGAAGCCAAAGUGAACGUGAAAGCAAGAGUGUAAAACUCUGAUACAGAC